rnacentral:rRNA from 1 species
UACAGAGGUCUCAAGCGUUGUUCGGAUUCAUUGGGCGUAAAGGGUGCGUAGGCGGCGCGGUAAGUCGGGUGUGAAAUCUCGGAGCUUAACUCCGAAACUGCAUUCGAUACUGCCGUGCUUGAGGACUGGAGAGGAGACUGGAAUUUACGGUGUAGCAGUGAAAUGCGUAGAGAUCGUAAGGAAGACCAGUGGCGAAGGCGGGUCUCUGGACAGUUCCUGAUACUGAGGCACGAAGGCCAGGGGAGCAAACGGG